GUGUGGUGUAGUGGUUAAGACAGUAGACUCAUAAUCUGGUGAACCGGGUUCGCUUCCCUGCUUCUCCA
rnacentral:tRNA from 1 species